rnacentral:tRNA from 1 species
GAGGUUGUGGAUUAGUGGUAGAGCACUUGCCUACCAUGUGAGAGGCGCUGGGUUCAAGAUCCUCAGCACCA